CACGUAGGGACCAAGCGUUGUCCGGAUUUAUUGGGCGUAAAGAGCUCGUAGGCGGUUCGGUAAGUCGGGUGUGAAAACUCUGGGCUCAACUCAGAGACGCCACCCGAUACUGCUGUGACUUGAGUCCGGUAGGGGAGUGGGGAAUUGCUGGUGUAGCGGUGAAAUGCGCAGAUAUCAGGAGGAACACCGGUGGCGAAGGCGCCACUCUGGGCCGGUACUGACGCUGAGGAGCGAAAGCGUGGGUAGCAAACAGG
rnacentral:rRNA from 1 species